rnacentral:lncRNA from 1 species
UUUUGCUCAUUGUAGUAACAAUAAAAGUAAAUCGUAGAGCCAAUAACCAAGUAGUACUUGAAUAAAGAUGGUUACCUAAAUAAUCUAUAUAUAACUAAAACAUAACAAAUGAUUAGGAACUGUUUCAGUCAUUGAAGCCAAACAGACCGAGGCAGGAAGAGGCGAAAACACAAUAGAAAUGACCGGGGAAUGACAGAGAAUGACCAGUGCAUGCUUUAGAGUUUAGACCAGUAAAAUAUUACAUGUGCUUCAUGAUCUACCGCAUUGAGUAUUUACAACCAAUUUACACUAAUGAAAGACUGAUGGACGAUGAUCCAGAUUGAGAGGGAUUCACUAUCUUUAUCGGUGUGCUGGACAAGAGCUCUGGCUUUAGGCAGUGUGAAUUUUAAGCAGUAGUCUUACUUAAACUGCUCAAUAAUGGGAUCUUUUCAAUUUCCAUCCCGAGCAGAAUCGUCAUCUUCUGCUAUCAUCCAAGGCUGCUUAGGACCCU